rnacentral:rRNA from 1 species
AGUGAACGCUGGCGGCAGGCCUAACACAUGCAAGUCGAGCGGCAGCGCGUCCGACCACCCUCGGGUGGUCGGAUGGCGGCGAGCGGCGGACGGGUGAGGAAUGCAUCGGAAUCUGCCUCGUUGUGGGGGAUAACGUAGGGAAACUUACGCUAAUACCGCAUACGACCUACGGGUGAAAGUGGGGGACCUUCGGGCCUCACGCGAUGAGAUGAGCCGAUGCCGGAUUAGCUAGUUGGUGAGGUAAAGGCUCACCAAGGCGACGAUCCGUAGCUGGUCUGAGAGGAUGAUCAGCCACACCGGAACUGAGACACGGUCCGGACUCCUACGGGAGGCAGCAGUGGGGAAUAUUGCGCAAUGGGCGAAAGCCUGACGCAGCCAUACCGCGUGUGUGAAGAAGGCCUCGGUUGUAAG